UUAUUUUAUUUAUUAUUUCAAUAAUGCAUUUGUGCUCUUUCUUUUAUAGAAAAUCGAUAUUGGAAUUUAAGAAAUUCUUCGGAUUGUAUUGGACGGGUUUACGAACAGGGUACUCUCAUUCAAGAAUGAACGUCGAAAUGUGAGCGUAUCGUCUAAAAAUACUGUUGGUGGGCCGAGGUGCGCCUAGCAACAGAGAUUGCAUAGAAGCAUAACUAUAGUGAACGUGCGUGUUUAUACGUCGAGGCACAACGAGGACAUGAGUUACGGAAAAAAGGAGCCAGACAAACAAACCUGUUCGUUUCUAUUAAACGAUUUUCGAAAUUUCAGCGAUGCAUAUUGGGUCAAAUGCACGGUAUAUACGUUCGUACAAGAAUCAUUAUUUCUCUCGUCAAAUUAAAAUUAAAUAUAUAAAGAUAAGCGAUUUAAUAAUUUAAUUCGUAGAAUCGGUUAAUUAAAAAUUAAUUGAAAAUUAAAAAAUUAUAAAAAAUUAAUCAAACAUAUUGUUAAAAAUAAAUUUAUUUUUUAUAUAGAAAAAAAAUGUUACAAUAAAGAGUAAGACAUUAUAUAUACCUGUUCAAAACAUAAAACGAAUAUUAUAUAUAUAUUCAAACAUUUAAGAGAAUAUGGAUUGUAGAAAAAUUCGGACAUCAUUCUUUAAAGCAUUUUCUAAAAAGAUUUAAAAAAGAAGUUUUAAAAAAGAUAUAUUCUUUGAAUAAAAAAAAAAUUUUAUAAAAAAUUUUUCUCACAUGUUUGUAAAAAUUUAAGAAAACACCAAUGCUAAUCUAUUAUUUGAAUCUUCAAUUUUUCAUUGAUUAUUCAUAUCCAGCCAAAGAAAAUUUCUGAUUCACUGAAGAAAUUCUUGCAUAAUCCUCUGACCUCGAUUUCAUAUUCACGCGACGAUCCAAUAACUCAAAUUGAAAUCAAAUGUUCUAUUCCGACCAUCGUUCGAUGCAUUGUUCUCAUCCGAUAUAUUUAUAAUCGGAAAUGUAAUUAAAAAUCGCGCCAAGAAAUCAUAAAGUCGUAUGUGAAUUAAGAUGUUCAAUUAGAAAAUACAAGCCAAAAGUGCUGUAUGCACUUUGUAUUCAAUAUGCGCAGACUUUGUAUCAACAUCCUCUGUUCGGUGUUAAUUUACUUGCAAAUUUGACCACGCGAGGCGACCGCGCUGUUUGCAUUUCACGUUCAUAACCAUCAAUUUAAAAUUUAUGUGGCAAAUUAUUUUUCUUUCUUACCUCGAUGUAAAUCAAAUUUCCGUUUAUCAAAAUUUAAAUCUUUCGCAACAUAUAUUUGUACCAUUUUAAAAAUGAAAUUGAAAUAAAGUCAAAAUGUCAAAUAUCACUUACCCAAAAGCGUAGGGAGAUUGGAGUGGGAGAUUUCAAGAGGUUCUAGGAUGCGUUGUGCUCUGCUGUAACAAGAUGAUACAUUUGAGAAGGAAUAUGAAAAUGUUAGGUUAAGUAAUAUAAAGAGAGUACAAAAAGAUAUUUUAACAACGUGGGUGAAUGAAAUGGGUGGGAUAUAGAGAACAAAAAUUUGAGUGCAAUUAUUUCAUGCAUCAUUAUCGAGUAACGACUACCCAGUAAAUAUAUAUAUAUAUAUAUAUAUAUACAUAAAAUAAGGUAUGGAUAUUAGGCUUGUAAAAAAAAAGAUACUAUAAAGUUUUUCAGAUAAAUCUUUUUUUUAAUAAACAUAGGCAUUCACUUAUGUAGGUUAGUUUUUUUUUUUUUUAGACUCUCUUAUGAUUAUAGUUUAUAUAAUAUUGUCGUUACACAUAGAAUUCUUACAUGAAUACCAACUGAAAGUGAGGCACUGGGUAUUUCUGCUCACCCUUUUUAUUCUAACAUUCACCCACGCAAACAAACAUUGUACACACGUGCUCAAACAUAUGCAACCUUUCACACUUUUUUUUACUGGGACGUUACGUCAUGUGUGAAACGCAUAAUACAUCUAUACUUAUUACAAAUAAGAAGUACACGCUAAGUUAUGUUUACUGAGAUCAUACUAAUACAUCACAGGGUUACAUAGACAUAAGAUUUAUUCUCUUUUACUAUUUUUUUUCGUUUCUUUCUCUACGGCAGACUACUUUCUUCUCCUUGCAUCGUGACCCUCCUCCUCUUUCUCUUUCUCUCUUUCUCUCUCUCAGAUCUGACGAGAUUCCAUAGUCAUUCGUCGCUUCUUUUUUCACAUCGAUAGAAAAAGAGAACAUAAUUUUUCGUGCACAUAGUCUGCCGUUAAUCAUCGUUUUGUUUCGAUAAUUCGUCACGAUCUUCACGUGCUUAUCCGUAUGAGUAGUCAGCAUAUUAAAAGCUUUUUAUCGACAAGAAACAAUAUUUAAACGCGUUUUCGCAUGAAAAUGUUUUACGUCAAUUUGAUUUCUUACCGCGAAGCUCUCAUAGUGUACGAGUAUCGUAGCCAUGAAAGCGCCAUUGAAACAUCGAAUACAGAGUAACCGGUAUGAAAAACGACCAUUAGAAUUCCACAAAGAAUCAAUUCUUCACCACUCAUAGCGCACUUCGCGAGUGAACUACGAAAAAAAUAGCUUGUAACCACCAGUCGUAUUUUUGAAUUAUAAUCUCAAAGUGGGAAAAAAAGAGUGAACGGAAAACAAAGUGUACCGGGAAUGGGAGAUACGAUUGAGGGAGAUUACUUCAUAGGAUGGCGUUAAACCAAAUUAUCAUAAACAAAAAGAAACUUGUAAUAAACAGCUACCAUUAUAAAAUCAAUAUACCAUUUAAGAUAUACAAAUUACAUUUACAUUUAAUAUUACGUUUUGCGUAAAUUCAUCCGCGAUGAAGAAAGUAACGUAGAAAAGUUUUGGUUCGUAAAUCAUAUUGUACGUCAAAACCUCGUACUUUCGUUAACACGGUAUAAGACGAUUCGAAUACAAGUUGCAUAAUUUUUCAAGAACCGUUUAAAGACCUCCAGAAAUUACGAUUUGUACUCGUCAAAUAUAAUAAUUUCGAAUAUAUUUUAUUCGAUAUAUAUAUAUAUAUAUAUAUGAUGAAAUUUCAGAAAAUGAAUAACAACUUUUAAUAUAUUUCUAUAUUAUAAAGUCGGAGUACGUCUUUUAACGGCUUUGAUCACGCCACACCACCAAUAUCUAAAGUCUGAUUGUAAAAUAUUUAAAAUGUGAGAAUUAUUCGUGAUGAUUUGUACAAACAGAUGAAUUAUGAUAGGAAAAUACAAAACUUUAUAAAAAAAAAAAAAAAAAAGCUAAACGAAGAUUGCAUCCUACAAUUAAUAUAAGAUAAAAUCAAUCGUAGCUUUGAUCGCCAUACUUCUAUGAAACUCGCGAUGCAAUUCAUCCAAUGAUUUUCUUUGUGGAAAAAGAAUAUUUUUCAGAUAUUGCAAUCUUCACGAAGCUUUAGAUCUCUAAUCAUACUAACACUUAACCGGAUUCAAGGUGAUGAAGUGAAAGAGAUGAAGAGAAAGCCAAAUACGAUAAUGGUUCCUUCUUCGAAAGUAUAAGGUAAGAAACAAAUCGCGGGGCUGAUUUGGCAUCGGCUGUACUUUCUUAAAGUCGUACAGGAGAUCAAUGCUUAAACAUGGGUAACAAACUAUAUCUAAAUCAUAUCUUUCUCCCCGUUUAUUGUCCUUGAGGCUGGUCUCUUUUCGGCUAAAAAAAAAAUAUGAUUGCGUUCCUUUUAUAUUCUCAAAUGUAUAAAAAUUAUGCUUUAAAUUUUGUCUCUUGAAAAAAUAUAUAAAGGAAAAAAAAAAGGAAAAAAUAAAAGAAAAAAACAAAAA